rnacentral:rRNA from 1 species
GGGAUAACAUUUGGAAACAGAUGCUAAUACCGCAUAAGAUUACAGUACCGCAUGAUACAGUGAUCAAAGGAGCAAUCCGCUGAAAGAUGGGCUCGCGUCCGAUUAGAUAGUUGGUGAGGUAACGGCUCACCAAGUCGACGAUCGGUAGCCGGACUGAGAGGUUGAACGGCCACAUUGGGACUGAGACACGGCCCAGACUCCUACGGGAGGCAGCAGUGGGGAAUAUUGCACAAUGGGCGAAAGCCUGAUGCAGCAACGCCGCGUGAGGGAAGACGGUUUUCGGAUUGUAAACCUCUGUUUUCGGUGACGAAUAAAUGACGGUAACCGAGUAGGAAGCCACGGCUAACUACGUGCCAGCAGCCGCGGUAAUACGUAGGUGGCAAGCGUUAUCCGGAAUUACUGGGUGUAAAGGGAGCGCAGGCGGGAUAGCAAGUCAGUUGUGAAAACUAUGGGCUCAACCCAUAGAUUGCAGUUGAAACUGUCAUUCUUGAGUGGAGUAGAGGCAAGCGGAAUUCCGAGUGUAGCGGUGAAAUGCGUAGAUAUUCGGAGGAACACCAGUGGCGAAGGCGGCUUGCUGGGCUCUAACUGACGCUGAGGCUCGAAAGUGUGGGGAGCAAACAGGAUUAGAUACCCUGGUAGUCCACACUGUAAACGAUGAUUGCUAGGUGUGGGGGGUCUGACCCCCUCCGUGCCGGAG